rnacentral:rRNA from 1 species
CCUACGGGUGGCAGCAGUCGAGAAUCAUUCACAAUGGGGGAAACCCUGAUGGUGCGACGCCGCGUGGGGGAAUGAAGGUCUUCGGAUUGUAAACUCCUGUCAUGUGGGAGCAAAGUAAAAAGAUAGUACCACAAGAGGAAGAGACGGCUAACUCUGUGCCAGCAGCCGCGGUAAUACAGAGGUCUCAAGCGUUGUUCGGAUUCAGUGGGCGUAAGGGGUGCGUAGGCUGUUUGGUAAGUCGUGUGUGAAAGGCGCGGGCUCAACCCGCGGACGGCACAUGAUACUGCGAGACUAGAGUAAAGUAGAGGGAACCGGAAUUCUCGGUGUAGCAGUGAAAUGCGUAGAUAUCGAGAGGAACACUCGUGGCGAAGGCGGGUUCCUGGACAGUAACUGACGCUGAGGCACGAAGGCCAGGGGAGCGAAAGGGAUUAGAUACCCCAGUAGUC